UACGUAGGGUCCGAGCGUUGUCCGGAAUUACUGGGCGUAAAGAGCUCGUAGGUGGUUUGUCGCGUUGUUCGUGAAAACUCACAGCUCAACUGUGGGCGUGCGGGCGAUACGGGCAGACUAGAGUUCGGUAGGGGAGUCUGGAAUUCCUGGUGUAGCGGUGAAAUGCGCAGAUAUCAGGAGGAACACCGGUGGCGAAGGCGGGUCUCUCGGCCGAUACUGACGCUGAGGAGCGAAAGCGUGGGGAGCGAACAGG
rnacentral:rRNA from 1 species